rnacentral:misc_RNA from 1 species
CUUUUCAAGGUCAUGACCUAUCAUAUGAAAAAGGGAUUAAUUGAUGCUCCUGUUAUAACAUAUUAAGAGUGCGCAACGAAUAUAAGAAGAAAACGCAAGCAUUCCGCUGAGACGUAGAAGAUUUCUUUGUAGAAAUUGACCAAAAUAUCCACCAGAGAAAAGCCUACCUAACUGUACAUCGAAUCUGACUGUUGUGAUAGUAAAAAAUUGUUUCAGCAACUUGCCUUUACGAUCUCAGUAGACCCCGAUUUUGACCGAAUCACUAUACGUACAACCGAAUAAUAAUAGCCUCACGUUUGUUCAUUUAGUAAAGGAAACAUUUUUAUGUCAAACCAGCAUGCAAAAAAUCAUUACAUGUAUAUUCAUAUCUAAUAAAAAAUGAAACAUGAACUU